rnacentral:rRNA from 1 species
AAUGGGGGCAACCCUGAUCCAGCCAUGCCGCGUGCGGGAAGAAGGCCUUCGGGUUGUAAACCGCUUUUGUCAGGGAAGAAAUCCUUCGGGUUAAUACCUCGAGGGGAUGACGGUACCUGAAGAAUAAGCACCGGCUAACUACGUGCCAGCAGCCGCGGUAAUACGUAGGGUGCAAGCGUUAAUCGGAAUUACUGGGCGUAAAGCGUGCGCAGGCGGUUGUGCAAGACAGGUGUGAAAUCCCCGGGCUUAACCUGGGAACUGCACUUGUGACUGCACGGCUGGAGUACGGUAGAGGGGGAUGGAAUUCCGCGUGUAGCAGUGAAAUGCGUAGAUAUGCGGAGGAACACCGAUGGCGAAGGCAGUCCCCUGGACCUGUACUGACGCUCAUGCACGAAAGCGUGGGGAGCAAA